GUCUCUACACAAACAAUGGUCUUUUUGCUUAUUUUCCAUCUUAAAUGCUCGUUUGACUCUAGAAUGCGAUUGUGUAUUUGUAGUGCCCACUACCGUGGUCUUUAGAAGCCGCAGUGUGUUGAAUAUCUGUGGGAAUUGGCCAGGUGAGGCCAGUUGCGGGUCAGUUGAUGGUGAGCUGCUACUACUACCUGGAACAGAACCUGCCCCAAUAAACUCAUCGCCCCCUGUAGGGUCUGGUAGGAGGCUGUUGCAGCUUUGCUCACCCCCUCCACUCUCAUUCACACACACGGCCAUUCAGUAAGCCUUGGCUUAUGGACUAUUUGCGUUCCACGGAUCAUUCUCGUCAUUUGGACGUAGCGUUCAUCUUUCAUGAACAAAAGAAAAUGUCCUAUAGUGUGUUGUGACUGUCCUUAAAUCUGAGUACUCCUCAAUUUGUUGCUGUAUUGUUUCUGUGAACUACUGAGUCAACGGAACUGAAUUUCCUCAAGUGCACUCUAUCAAAACCAACGUUUCUGCAGAUUGUAAAUAUUUUGGGGGUGGUUGUUUGUUUUUUUUUUUGUCCUUGUUUCCACAUAAAAUAUGGUACCAACACCAAAUAUAA